UUCACCGAUGAUGGUGGUUCUGCUUUCUCAUUCAUCCAAUCUUAUAUGCGUGUUUCUGUCGAAUGAUUGAUUUUGCCUUAUGUUUGAUGAUACUUGGAGUGUUAGGGUUUGUGACGAUGUGUGUUGUUGCGUUGGUAUCGAUUACGAUUGAUUUGUGAAUAGAUUUUGAUUUUGCGUUGAAGGUUAAUCCUUAUGUUUGAUGAUACUUGGAGUGUUAGGGUUUUUUUCUGUCAUUAAGGUUUUUAUUUCUCGCCUCAUUUAUUUCUACUCAGAAACCUGGUAAUUUGAACCUCUCUGAUCAAACUCCUUCAAGUGUCGAAAUAAAGAUUUUAGUAUAUUCUAAUGACUCCAAAGCUGAGGAGAUCCAAAAUGAAGAUUGGAAAGCAAUAAGACGGAGAAGGUAUACAUGAUUUAACCAAACCUGCAAGCUAAGUUUAACGAAUGAGAAAGCCAAAGCAAGGAUUUCAGUUGCAACCGCAGACCUAAAGGGCCUAUUUUAUAAUUUUGGAUCCUUUGAGCGGUUCCGCUGCAAGAGACCAGAAGUGGUGCAACGUACAUCACUUAGAGCUUGGCUGCUGGUAUGUGUCUCAGCCUCAGGCGUGCAACUAUUGUCUUGACAGCAGUCAUUAGUGAUGCAACUAACCUUGAGUCACAUGGAUCGCGGUUCGCGGAACGAAAACGGCUAGCGGUUACUCAUCGGCUGAGCAGUGCUAAGGAAGCUGUUGCGAGCAUAUCCUACAGUCUUGAAGAUCUUGAGUUUCGAAAUCAACAAAUCGUCUACAGGUCUACUGUUGAUUAUAUAAAGCUACUGGAAUCCCUUUCUCUCAAGGAUAUCAUGGCUGCUGAUUGGUCUGACAAUGUUGCCUCAUUUUUGCCCGCUGUGGUAAGGUGUGUAUUCACAUGGGAAGGCGUAACUUCAUUGCUAAGUGGUUGUAAUUCCUAAUUAGCUUAUUAAUUAUGUUUUCCCUUGAGAUUUGUUGUCAAAGUAUUAGGUCCUUAUCGAAAGUUAUAGUUACAACCCAAAUUAUAUUAAAAAUCAUUCGACACUAAUAAAAAAACAAUAUUUAUGCCCGUUUUGAAAACUGUGUUUGUUUCUUUUAAUCUUUUGAUUCGAUUUUUUUACCGAUUCCCGAACGAGAUUUUGAGUAUAUUGUCUUAUUUGUUUGAAGGUUUUAUUAGAAUCUUUUGAUUAACAUUAUGUUAUAAUGCAACCCUUAGAUUAAAAGCCAACUAACUCGUGUUUGGUUUUAUUCCUCAUUAGCUUUUUAAAGAUUUUUUGUUAAGUACGCGAGGUAUAAGGUCACAAUCACCAGUUUGCAGGUUGUGCGAAAUAGCAGAGGAGACGUCUGACCAUGUUUUGUUACAAUGUAGCUUUGCAGUUCAGUUUGGGAUCAAGUUAUUACCUGGCUUAAACUUUCAGCAGGUUAUAAGCCUGAUUCAGUCAAAGAAAUAUUGCGCAAUAUAAGCAGGUUGUUUCUAACAGUAAACAAGGGAAAGUUUGUUCAUGUUGUUUGUCUUUUGACUCUUUGGAGCAUUUGGUUGGCAAGUGCGGAAGGUAAAGUUUUUAACAACAGAAAUGUAUCAAUGAUCAAGCUGGUUAAGUGCAUUAAGGAAACAUUCUAUUAUUGGUAUCUUCACAUAUCAAGCUUCUUGGAGUUAUCAUAGGGUAAAUGGAGACAAGUGUAUAGGCUUUGAAGUAUGUAGGCUGAUUGUAUUUCUGUUGUGAUUCUGUUGUAGGAAAACCGUGUGCAAAUACUGAAGAAAGAAGUAGAUCGAGUUGUUUCAAUGGCAGAACUUAUAGAAUACAAUUUAGCAGAUGUGGAUGCGGCUAUCUUGGCUGUUAGAGUAGCUCUUGCAAAUGGUAUGAAUUGGGAUGAUUCAACCCGGAUGGUCAAAGAGGAGAAGAAAUCUGGAAAUCCCGUUGCAGGCCUUAUUGACAAAUUACAUCUUGAAAGAAAUUCCAUGAGUCUGCUUUUGAGUAACAAUCUUGAUAAAAUGGAUGAUGAUGAAAUUACUCAACCCAUGGAACAGGUUUUACUUGAAAUUUCUAUCAUCCACAUAAUCUUUUCUAUUACCCACUUUCUAUAGCAUCUAUUACUUAAGUAGCCACUGAUUAUUAAUAGCCCUUAUGACGUAUAUGCGUGAAAUUAAGCAAGUUUAAAGUGGGAAAAGUUAUAUCUUGUGUUGCUAAUUAAGCAAAAUGAAGACAUUUUGAUGAUAAUUUAGGGGAGUUCGUAGGGUUGUGAAUUUCUGACACGAACCGAAAACACGACACGAACCUAACAUGAAAUUCGUGGGUUUAGGUUUAGUCUAAAUCUGUUCGGGUCAAUUUUUGGUUAAACUCGCAAACCCGUUUAGGUUAACGUGUUGGGUUAGGGUCACCUGGUCGGGCUGACCCGUUUAACACAUUUUUAUUAUAUUAUAUAUUUAGAUAAAAAGAUUACUAAUUGAUUCCUUCUUAUAAUAUAUCUGGAUAGUGAUUCCUUCUUAUAUGUGUUUACCAAAUAUGUGUUUCUUAGACAAUGUAUCAAACUAAUCAUUCUUCAAAUUAUAUUAUGCAAAAGGCUUUUGUCGUGAACUCAUGCCUGUAGGUUAAGUUGUUAAAGAUACUAUUUGUUUAAAAAAUAACUAUAAAUUACAUUUUAAUAUAUUUUAGUGUAAUUAUCCUAAAAAUUACUUCUCUAAAUUUGUUUGUUGAAAGAAAUUACAAAAUUUAGUUCACAUUCUCUAAUUGACUUUAUUUCUGAAUGGCGGAAGUAUGAAUACAGGCAAUGCGAGGUGCACGAGAUUGUUGACUUUCAAUUAAAUGUUCACGUUAGUUGAUUUUGAUACAAGUAAUUUAGUUUAUUUUAAUUAAUGUUUUCUAAAAUUCUACAUGCUUAGAAAAGUUAACAUUGCUUUUUCGGUUAUACUUAAAUUUAAAAAUGAUUUUUUUUUUUAAAUAAGAGCAGUCUUGAAUAUUAGCAGAUCAAACAUUGCAGGUAUCUGAAAAUGGAAUUGGUAUAAAAGAUUAAGUUUAGGGCACCAAACCUACCUUAGGUAUCAGGUCAAAAAUUGCUUAUUUGCUUAGCUUAAAGUCAAAUCAAGAACUUUUAAUCGAGUUAAAUGCCAUGAAAACUUAAAGGAGAAUGUUAAACAGUUAUAAAAGACUAGGGAUGUAGACACUAGAGCAUAUUGAAGAUAUAAUUAUUUUUAAGUGCAUGGGCCAUCAGUUGUACCACUCCCAUUGUUUCAAGUCCAAAUACAAAGUGAAUAGAGUUUUCCACGUACUCAACUCACAUAUUUGUCUUUUCUCUAUUCAUGUUAAAAUAACAAAAUAGGAGUAGAGAAGGAUCACUUACCUGGCAUCUUCUCUCUAUAAAACCCUUUUAUAACCCUGAAUUUCUUACAUGUGCGAAAUUCUAUGGCCAUCCGUUCUGUAGAUCAGGUUUGUUUGUUUCUGAGUUGUUAAUUUGUUAAUUUCUAACUUUUUGUUUGUAUUUUGGGUUGACAUUGUUUUUUGGAGGUUCGAUUAUUUCAUUUGUCUUUGGUUUGGGUUUUUUUGAAGGUUUGUUUGCUGAUGAAGGGGCUUUCCACCGACAAUUGUUGAUUUGAGCUUUAUGUCAUUUUGAUUUCAGAUUUAAUUUGUUGUCUCAAAGAAUUUGUCACGUAUUUUUCAGUUAAGUUUGACUAAUUUUCUCCACCUUUUGGGUUGUUGAUUACAGUUUUUUACUGUUUUUCUUCAGUAGCUGUUUAUUGUUGGCCUUCUGGUUUGGUUCAACGGUUGCCUGGUGAAGUGAUCGAUGUAGGGCCUUUGACAUGAAAUUUCAAGAUUGAGAUUUUACUGUUUUUCUUCAGUAGCUGUUUUUGUCUGGGUUUCUGUUAUGAAUUGUAGUGUAAUUGUUUGUCCUUUUUUUGCUACUUUAUUAGCUGCAGGUUCAUCAGUUGUUGAAAGUAUUUUUCUUUGUGCGUGUUUUUAGGUGUCCAAUGUAACAUUAAUGCAGGUGUGGUUUGUGUGAA